rnacentral:lncRNA from 1 species
AGUUGAGGCUGCCCGAAUCGCAGGUGCACUCGAACGAGAUGAUUGAAAUUUUCACGAUACUUAUCGUCACAACUGGAUUGCUGGCAGUCCUGAUAGCAUGGCGUCGAAGGCAUUUUUCGUACUUCGAGGAUCUGGGAGUUCCAGGGCCAAAACCGAAUUUGAUUUGGGGAAACUUGUGGGAGUACUACCAAGAUGAUCGCUACAAGGUUAUCGGAAAAUGGCUGAAGAAGUAUGGAGACGUCUUUGGGUAAGUCCUGUGCGAAUUAUUCAGUAUUUAACAGAUCUC